rnacentral:tRNA from 1 species
GACCUCGUAGCUCAGUCCGGAUAGAGCAGUGGUUUACUAAACCAUUGGUCGCUGGUUCAAAUCCAGCAGGGGUUGCCA